GUGCCAGCAGCCGCGGUAAGACGAAGGUGGCGACCGUUGUUCGGAAUCACUGGGCAUAAAGAGCUCGUAGGCGGUGAGGAAAGUCGGGUGUGAAAUCCCUCGGCCCAACCGAGGAACUGCGCUCGAAACUGCCUUGCUUGAGGACGGAAGGGGACCACGGAAUUCCUGGUGGAGCGGUGAAAUGCGUUGAUAUCAGGAGGAACACCGGCGGCGAAGGCGGUGGUCUGGUCCGUUUCUGACGCUGAGGAGCGAAAGCUAGGGGAGCAAACGGGAUUAGAAACCCCGGUAGUCC
rnacentral:rRNA from 1 species